rnacentral:rRNA from 1 species
GACGAACGCUGGCGGCGUGCUUAACACAUGCAAGUCGAACGAUGAAGGAGAGAGCUUGCUCUUUUUGGAUUAGUGGCGAACGGGUGAGUAACACGUGAGUAAUCUGCCCCGGACUCUGGGAUAAGCGUUGGAAACGACGUCUAAUACCGGAUAUGAAGCGUGGAGGCAUCUUCUGCGUUUGGAAAGAUUUUUUGGUUUGGGAUGAGCUCGCGGCCUAUCAGCUUGUUGGUGAGGUAAUGGCUUACCAAGGCGACGACGGGUAGCCGGCCUGAGAGGGUGACCGGCCACACUGGGACUGAGACAGGAUCAAACCCUUGUGUUAG